GUGGGGAAUCUUGCGCAAUGGGCGAAAGCCUGACGCAGCCAUGCCGCGUGAAUGAUGAAGGUCUUAGGAUUGUAAAAUUCUUUCACCGGGGACGAUAAUGACGGUACCCGGAGAAGAAGCUCCGGCUAACUUCGUGCCAGCAGCCGCGGUAAUACGAAGGGGGCUAGCGUUGCUCGGAAUUACUGGGCGUAAAGGGCGCGUAGGCGGACAGCUUAGUCAGAGGUGAAAGCCCAGGGCUCAACCUUGGAAUUGCCUUUGAUACUGGCUGUCUUGAGUUUGGGAGAGGUGAGUGGAACUCCGAGUGUAGAGGUGAAAUUCGUAGAUAUUCGGAGGAACACCAGUGGCGAAGGCGGCUCACUGGCUCGGUACUGACGCUGAGGUGCGAAAGCGUGGGGAGCAAACAGGAUUAGAAACCCUUGUAGUCC
rnacentral:rRNA from 1 species